UACAGGGGGUGCAAACGUUGCUCGGAAUUAUUGGGCGUAAAGCGUGCGUAGGCGGUUCGCUGUGUCCGAUGUGAAAGCCCCGGGCUUAACCUGGGAAUGGCAUUGGAAACUGGCGGGCUUGAGUGCGGCAGAGGGGGGUGGAAUUCCGCGUGUAGCAGUGAAAUGCGUAGAGAUGCGGAGGAACACCGAUGGCGAAGGCAGCCCCCUGGGUCGACACUGACGCUCAGGCACGAAAGCGUGGGGAGCAAACAGG
rnacentral:rRNA from 1 species